rnacentral:rRNA from 1 species
CUACGUGCCAGCAGCCGCGGUAAUACGUAUGUCACAAGCGUUAUCCGGAUUUAUUGGGCGUAAAGCGCGUCUAGGUGGUUAUGUAAGUCUGAUGUGAAAAUGCAGGGCUCAACUCUGUAUUGCGUUGGAAACUGUGUAACUAGAGUACUGGAGAGGUAAGCGGAACUACAAGUGUAGAGGUGAAAUUCGUAGAUAUUUGUAGGAAUGCCGAUGGGGAAGCCAGCUUACUGGACAGAUACUGACGCUGAAGCGCGAAAGCGUGGGUAGCAAACAGGAUUAGAUACCCUGGUAGUCCACGCCGUAAACGAUGAUUACUAGGUGUUGGGGGUCGAACCUCAGCGCCCAAGCAAACGCGAUAAGUAAUCCGCCUGGGGAGUACGUACGCAAGUAUGAAACUCAAAGGAAUUGACGGGGACCCGCACAAGCGGUGGAGCAUGUGGUUUAAUUCGACGCAACGCGAGGAACCUUACCAGCGUUUGACAUC